CCCAGCCAAUCUUGUUUUGUCAGCCAUAGUUAAUUGUAACGGGUCAAUAGUUUGAUCACAAAAUAGAAACAAAACAGGCAACGCAAUGCAGAAGUAGAGGUAGAGGUAAAAAAAUACAAUAAAAUGCAUACACACAGUCCAGAGUAGAGUCACAGAUCCAUAUACUACUUUACACACAUUACACAAGAGCCACAAUAUAAUAUUGAGUUAGUGCAUGAGGCUGAAGAUACAUGUAAGAUCAUGACCACAUGGCACAACACAAAAGUUGAAACAGUCCGUUAAUUCCUCCGAAUCUUCUCCACGCACCUCUCCAGGGCAGAGAUGAAUUCAUCCUCGCAAAACAGUUUCUUAAGCAUGGUAGACAUGUUGGAAAAGUCUGGAUCAAGACUAUCUUGCGAAAGCCCUUCACUACGAGGACCUUGACCAGCCAUGGUAUUUUUGCGUUGAAUACAGCAAAAUAUCAACGGGUAAGGGGUCGAUAGUUGGAUCACAAAAUAGAAACAGAACAGCUAGGCAAGGCAAUGCAGAAGUAGAGGUAGAGGUAUACAAUAACUGCAUAUACACAGUCCAGAGUAGAGUCACAGAUCCAUAUACUACUUUACACACAUUACACAAGAGUUACGAUAUAAUAUUGAGUUAGUGCAUGAGGCUGAAGAUAAAAGGAACUGACCGUGUGGCAAAACACAAAAGUUGAAACAGUCUGUUAAUUCCUCCGUUUCCUCUUUUUGUUUCAUGGUACCAGUAAGGUCUUGAGGCAAAUUACAUGUUGCUUUGUUUGACUGAAGCUAAACAGACUAAUAACAGGCCUCAUGUUGCAGUUUGCAGACGAUGCUUCCGUAUUUGGUUGAUACACCUUUCACCGGAGGGGCCGGUCUCCUUUGCUCUCAUCAAGACAGAGAAUCUUAGUGAUGUGAGGUCUUCAUUGAUAAAAACCCCUCUCAUACCAUCCUUCCCCUUCAACCGGAACCGUCCAUCGUGGAGAUGGUAUCGCUUUCUCCACGAAACAAACCGGACGAUGGCCUGCCUGCUCCUCCCUCCUUCUCUCCUCUUCCCGAGCCGAUGGCACAAAGAAAUGUUGGUCGGCUGGAUGUCAACACUGACCUCCCUGGCAAAACCUUAAUUUUGUCACCUUUCAUCUGAAGCUCUGUAGUCAGAGAAAAAUAUGAAUGAGAAAUCUUGAUAACAAUUCUACAAACACAGAAUUUUGUGGAAGUUGACAAAAUCUAUGCAGUUUGCUUACCUGUUGUGAUACAUACUCUUACAAUAUGAUGUAUAACAUAUAGCUGUAUAGUGCCACCUUUGCUCAUUCCACAAAAUUUGCAAUCUAUCGAGUUGUUUUGCAACCCUGAUUUGUGGCCAUGCUUCUUCUCUUUGUUUUGCCCCUUGCGCUGGUAUUUUAUGCGACAAAGGAUGCCCAAAUGGAGCAUCACCUUGCAAGAACUGUGUUUGCGUCUUAGAGGACUCAUAAGCCUGACAAAUGUCAAGGCACCCCUGCAGGGUCAGAUUGGGCUCUUGAAGCAAUCACUUCCUCACUGAAACAUCUAGUAUCCCUAACACUAUCCUGUCUCUUAUCAACUCUUCCAUUAGGGCGCCAUAUUCGCAGCUACCUGCCAAUUGUCUUAGUGUGACAUAAUAUCUUUCAAAGGUCUUGUCCUCGUGUUGGGCAUACUUGUUAAACUUAUAUAUCCACCUCACUAAAGAAUGAGCUGAAGACUGACUUGGCAUAGUCUUGCUUCAAGAGCUCUCUUGCGAUCUGCUUGCAGUCCUCAGCAUCAAAGGGACUUCCCAGUGACCCUACAACUUCCUCAUGGGCAUUUAUGCCAUGUCUGACCAUCGCAUUUGCUCUAUCCAUUCUUUCCCCAACUUCUCUUAUAGGAGCCUUGUGCUUCCUCAAGUCUUCAAACAUUGUUACCAAUUCCUUUUCUCCAGUUUCGAGUGCCUCGAUAUGCUGCUUGAUCACCUCUUCUUCUUUUUCCGCCUUAAUUGCCUUCCUUGCUUGCUUGACGAUAGUCUUCAGAGCCCCAUAGUUUUUGAAGAACUUUCGCUCCAUCUUUACUGCUUCUUCACUUUGCAGAGCUGCCAUCUUUUCAGUAGGUUGCAUGUCGCUCUCUAGAAGACUUUCUACUGUGAGACUCUUCCAUCUUUAAUCUUAUCCUACCUACACAAUGAAUCUAGGAGAAGCCAAUGAAAUACAAAUACUACAACUGCUCAACCCGCCUACUAAGCUAAGCGAUACAAUCCACCUGAUACCAGACCAUACCCAAGGCAUCAGUCAGGGGGCCCCAGACCAUGUCACCAGCCGAAGCCGAAAUACAAUGCUCGCAACCCCACAUGCGCACUUCUUAUGCACACAGCAAUGCAGGACAGCCAGUCUAAAGGAAAUUCAGUUGCUCAGUUGUGCACUACAUUUUCAUAUCGAUAGGUGUAAUUAGUACUAGUAGAUCUAGAGUCUAGAUCUAGAAUAGAUCUUUAAAAAAAAAUGUUGAUCCAUAAAACAAAUAAACUUAUGGGCCACAUGAAUAGGUGAUACAAGUCAGCAGUGUCUAAACGACCAUCAAUGUCACUGCCAAUGUCAUUGACUAGCCAUGGACAAGACUCUGAAUCAGUGAACAUUACACCGGAGUCCCCGGGGCGGUCAAGGCGUAACCAUAACUUUUUUUUGGCUGACACUGAUGCUGGCGAUGGUCUCUUCAUUGGUGAUUUCCUCUUCACUCCUCCUUGCCCAAAGUCGUUCCAAUAAAAAUAUUUCGGCUCACCAUCUGCGAAUCCAUUGCCUUGUAAUUGCUGCUGAUCAAAAUGUCUUGAACAUAAAGGAGAGCUUCUCGCUAUUUAUGGCGAAGCAUUUUUUCCAUUUUAUUGACAUUUGCUGCCGUUCCAUAUGAUAUUCUAAGUCAUCUUUGGAGAGUUAAUGCAUAUGAGCUUAUGAUUCAAUUGUGGUGUUUGAAUUCAGUUUUAAAAUCCAAUGAAUUAAAGUUGCUUAUCAUAUCUAAACAUAUGUGCCGGCAUCUCUUCUUCCUCUUCUUCUUUCUUCCUUUUAUUGCUAAUGUAACAACAAAAUUCCUCACCAGAUAUUGCCUCUGGCAAUUUUCCUUCUCCUGUUUUGUGGAACAUGUUUGGCUGGGUAGGUUAUGUACUCCUUCAAGCUUGGAGACACAAAGUCCGAAUUGAGCAGAGGUUCUUUUCUGAGAGCAUGUGUAAAACCAGGAAGAGACUGGGUAGCACAUGUGUUCACCUUCUUCCUUGCUACCCACCUCCAUCAGGAGUCACUGCCAGAUGCGUCCCGUGGAUCUGUUCCAGUCACUUGUACUUCAAUUUUGCAUACUAGCCUUCUCUGAGUGUGAGUUGGUGUCACUCCGAAAGCUUUGCAGACCGAUUUUAGGCGUGCAACAUCUAUAGUAUCUGCCGCAGCACUCAGGAUGUCUAAUGUAGUCUUCUGAGUUUUCAACUCAAUCAUUUUCGACUGGCUGAAAAUCAUUUGUCUCAUGACAUGUGCCCAUUCAAUGCAGAUAGCUAUGUCAAUUGCCUCUUGAUAAGUCUUCGCCCCCAAUUCGGGAAUGCGGACUUGAAGUAAGUUAUUCAAGCCUGCAACAAAUCUUCUAAACUUCUCACUUUCUUAAGCCGAGCUUCCAUAUGAAGGGAAUGCCUCUUCUAACAACGUUGUUAUGGCAGCAGCAUACACAGCAAUCGGUUUCUCGGGCUUCCUUGGUCUGGCAUUUAUACAGGUUUGAAAUGACGCCAGAUAAUCUGGACGACCAAAAACUGCAGACAUUUUUUUUUUCAUAGCAUGAAACAUUUUUAGACCCUACACCUCGUGAUAUUACCUCGUAGCAUACAACACGUAUGUCACUGGUGAAGGCCCCUUCUUCAAAUGUCGAAAUUUCUCUGUCCCCCAUUAUUUCAUCCAGCUGAUUUCGUAGGGCAUCGUUGUCAUUUUCAACUUCUCUCAAUUUCUCCUUCAAAGACUUAUUUUCAGUUUCCAUCUUAUCUUCAAUUUCAAACCGUCUAUUCACAUUAUACCGCACUUGCUCUGUCCUGUUCUUUAUUGUGUGUCGUAGCUCGUUCAUAACAUUAUGCAAUGUCUCUACCUCUUGUUCUAAUCUGGCCAUCUCCUGCUUCUCAUCCUGCAAUUGCUUAUCACGAGUUGCAAGUCGUCUUACCAGAUUGGUCUUUUUCAGCUUUAAGAUUUCUUUCUUCAUUUCUUCACUGAGUUCAGCCACUUUGUCCAAUUCCAAAACAAAAUGCGAGAUCCUCCUCGCCAAGAUUUAGCCGAAGCUUCAUGAGUGUCAUGAGAAGUUGAUCUUCAAUAGACUGAGAUCGCUUAACUCCAAGUUUUGUAGUGUUAUUUAUUUGCCAGGUCUUGUCCUCCUUUGACAAUUUCCCCUUGAAAUAAUGAAGGUUCUGUACAUGUGGGGAUACUUCUGCUAGUAACCACUUGAACAGGUCAUAACUAGGUAAACCUGUGUAAAGUUUCACACUUUUAUCACAGUUUGCUAUGUCUGCAACAGUAAGUUUCUUUUUUACAUCCUGCAAUGGUACCUUCCAAUUUUGCAACGGUGUCUUUAGCUUGCAAAUAUUGGCUCUACUUACUUGCUUGGUAUACUUGGUAGAUUAGCCCUCUUUUCCUAAGGGAAGGGCUCUCAGUUGACUCUUAAAAGUUGCCACUGUAGGUGCAGACACUACUUUUUCUGGUAGGUUGUUCCAAGGUUGGACCACUCUGUUAGUAUAAAAGUGGCCAGCCAGUUGAGUUCUGGAACGUCUUUGGAACACUUUUUUAGAAUGCCCUCUUAAUUCCUUAUUUGGGCUGAUCACAGUUUACCGUUAAUUUGUGGAUAUCAUCUUCUAGGUGAGCAACCCACUCUGACUAAGUGAUUUCUUCCGGAAUGCAGGGUGACUGUUGUGACAGUUGCACUUAAUUACUUUAUCACCCAAGUCAUUUGUUUCUUGUACUAUUGAUGCAUGAUAUGAAUACACAUAUAUUUGUAAUAGCACUUCCUCUGGCAAGGUGCCUAGUAUAGCGCCAUCUAUUGAUAUUCACUUGCUAUUACACACUCAGAAGGCUACAUAGACAUGGUUGUGUUGAGGUGCAAGAAUCUCCUUUUUGCCAGAGCAUCAAGGAAAUUUCAGUCAUAAGUUUGUCAUUAUGUCAGGCAAAGAGUUUUCACGGAAUAAACUGGUAUGGAAUGAAACGAAAUGGAAUGAAUUGGAACGAAAAAAUAACUCCAAUUAACGAGCUAUGAAUUCCUGUAGAAGCCUUUGUUUAGACUUUGAUUUGUUGUCGACCUCGCUGCAGCCACAGUGACAAUAAACAUGGUCGUACUCGUCCACACUACAUGUAUCUUCGACUGAGAUGGAUCAACUUGAACGCCAAUAGACUUAUGAGUUGGAGCUUUUAUUUUCUGCCUUUUUCUAGGAGUUGACAUGCAAGUCUGCUGAGUUGGUGGUCGUCUGGGUGUCUUUUGAAUCUCAUCGUAGAGAGUAGGAUGAGGAUCAACAGAAAAUGAUUGCUGCACACCUUAGUCCCUUUGUUUACCUUGAAGUGUUUUAGAUUCAACAGGCGUGUCCAUGUGGUAAAAUGUUUCCCUUCCUGCCAAUACGUCAGGGCAUCCUCCACUCCCCAGUUGAUGACCACUUCCACGUCAUCGAUAUCUACCCCAAGUCCAAGGACCAGAGUGGUAACAACCACUCUGAUACUGCUUCCCCUGCAACAAAAUUCUGCCAUUAUUUCCUGGGACUUGCCAGGUGUCGUUUUGCUAUGAAACAUCUCUACGAGCCUAUGUUUGCUUGGAUGUGGACAUCUCACCUGGUCCACUUGUUCCGCCAUCCAGUUGUAUAUCUUUUGGCAAUUGUUCAUGCCCUUUGUAAAGAUAAUCAUCUUUGUAGCCUCGGUUCCUGACUGCUGGACACCAUCCAGUUAUAGAUCUUCUGGCAAUUGUUCAUGCCCUUUGUAAAGAUAAUAAUCUUUGUAGCCUCGGUCCCUGACUGCUGGACACCAUUCACUACCCAGAGCAAAUGCUUCUCGAAUUGCUCCACAACUCGUUCCACAUGGAGGUAGAUGUUGGGUCUGAAAGAUAUAUAAAAAAAAUUAAAAAAUAUUAGAGAGUACACAGUUUGCCUGAGUGAAGGCAGGAAAUCUGAAUUAAUUGAUGAAAGUUUGAGAAAAACAAGAAAACAAUGAGGGAUUAAAAAAAAAUAAAACAUGAACAGAUUCUCUCCUACUCUGAUUCUGUUGAGAAGUUCUGCAAAGGCUCUGUCAUCUUUUUGCCUUAUGAUUUCAUCAAGUUUAGCAAACUGGAAGUUUUCUUGCCAAAGGGAGCCAGCCAAUCCUGCAAAUAAAUCUGCAGCAUCUUCAAACACAAUUUUCUGACAAACUGGUGCAAGCUGGUAUAGAUCUCCAAAUGCCAGAACGGAUAUGCCACCAAAGAUUUUGUUGACACCUCUAAUUUCUCAAAGGCGCUGGUCCACCGUCAUAAAAAGAUCGCACCCUACCAUGGAUAUUUCAUUUAUGAUUAAGAUAUCCAAAUCAGCAAGUUUGCAGCGUAGGGUAUUCCUCUUUUGAUCACUCAGUUUUUUGUAGACUUUGGUCUGACCCAGUGGUAGGAGAAAUGUUGAGUGCAGGGUGCUUGCUUGGAUGUUGAAUGCUACAGUACCAGUUGUUGCAGUCAGUAGCACUCUCACUGCUUCUGGAUUACUUCCUUCAUGUUUCAGCGUAUGAAUAGCCAUCUGGUAAAUAGUAGAUAUCAGAUGUGAUGAUUUGCCUGUUCCUACACCUCCUGUUACACAAAGCUGCACUGGCUGUAGAUCAACGUGUGUCUUGCAGCUUUUCACCAAAUCCCCACACUAGUCAUUAAUGUAUGAAAACACUUUGGACUGCCCAGUUAGCAAGUGUUUAGAGUUAGCAUACUGUUCCUGUACUCUACAUCAGAAGGGUAGUUUGGUCUGUGUUCAAUGGCGAGUGCAAUGCUAGUGCAAAGACAUGACUCCUGAACAUCAGUUACUGUCUGAUCGGAACUUGGUUGGAGGAAAUUACGAUCGGGGUGGUCUUGUGGAAGAUCUGUCUGGGAUUCUCCAUUUUUCUGCUGGGUUGCUGUAUCCAGAGUAUCCCAGGCAUGUUCGGGUGGUCCCACGUGUUCAUGCUCUUCAAUAGCAUGCUCGAUUAUUUUAGUGAACGACUCCAGAUUGGAUCGCUUUAAUAAGAUGUCUGGGGAGAUGGGAGUGAUAAUGCUCAGCAUACGUCCCAAGGCCAUUCUUUAGAUCAAGUUCUUCUCUUCUCAAUGGAUGGUAGAGCAUUAGCAUGUGGUGGCAGUAUUUUUCUUCCUCUUGUGUUUCAUUGAACUUGUGGUAUCUGAUGAUGCAUGGUUUCUUGCGUUUCAUCAUUUACCCCUUGCCAUCCAGUGAUUUGAUACGUGUUGCCUUUGUUGCACUUGAUUCAAGUAGAUGAAAUUCUGCUGAUUGUUGUUGUUCUUUCUAUACCAUAUUGUAUGAAGAAACAAACCAACUACUAAAUUCUGUACAAGUCGUCUACUCCAGAAUAAAUGGCUGAUGUUGUUUUUUUUGCAGCAUGGUUUGGGCCAGGCAUGGUUUGACAUACACAUUCUCACUUUCUUCGUCAAAAUUCUCCAAAAUACUUUGGGGUUUCAAGAAGACAACUCUUUUUUCUUGAAGAUCUGUUUGGAUGAAAACUGUCUGAAAAAUGUGGAACGAUGAAGUGGCAGACCAAGCACUCUGUAAACAGCUCCUUGUGCACUGACUUCUCUGGCAUUAAGAAAACAGGAUGCUACUUCCUUCAUUCUGUGCUUGAUGUCUGAGUCCUUAUAGGAUUUGCUUACUUCUUUCGGCGCUUGUCCCAUUUCUCGUUCAUCCUUUGUCACAUAGGAAAUUAUGAAGUGAAUGUAGGCAUAUGGAUUGCAGACAAAUUUAAGAUGUUUCAAAUGUUUCAAAUAAUUUUAUUUCUCAUGCAAAACAAGAAUAAUUAUAUCACAACAAAUAUUCAAUGAAACGACAAAUAUAAUGGAAAAAGCAUGAGAAAAGAGGAACUAAUUUAAGAUCCAUAUUGGCCUGCCAUGCUUUCAAUACAACUGGGUUGUAUGAGUUGAUAUUGACUUCUUGAGCUUGUCUUCUGUACACGAUGGAUCUCAGAAAUGUUCACAUGAUGAAGUACUUCUUGCACUGUGCUCUUGUCACUGCAUUUUCUCUCUAACUCAUCUCUUACUUUGUUCAAUAUCUCUGUUUAAGAUUUGACAAGUCUUUGUUUUUCUUUUGGAUCCUCAUCAGAAGGUGUGUCUGCCACCACUGUCCUGGAAGCCAUGGGCCUUCAGUAAUGAAAUCUACAAUUCUUCCCAGUUUUGCAGCAUGAUGCAGAGUGUGAGCGCCUUUGUAGAGUAGAAACUAGAGUAUGCAUCAGCUCAUCAUCAUCAUCAUCAGAUGAAGGAAGUUCACAGGUUCCAUGCACACUUUGCUGGUUGAAGCCUGGACUGAUUGAAAGUGACAGGAGGGAGCAAACUUCUCGUUCGAUGAGGGGAAACAAGUGAAGCAAUUCAGUUGUACUGUUGUAAGUUCCUUCCAUACCUCAGGAUCUUCAUUUAGACACUGUUCCUCCCAUUCAUUUUUGUCCACUGUUGAUAAGUAGAAUUUGUUGAUCGUUUUUAAUUGUCCAAGAGCAGCUUGUACCAUUCCAGGACGAAUGUUCUGGUAAGCCACAUGACUCCUGACUGGAUUUUUUGUUUCAACUUGAGUGGAAUGAUACCAGCCUGUCAAGGAGUCCGAGGGAGACUUUUACAGACCUUUUCUACAAUCACAGGGACAUUUACAACAGCACCCUUUAUACCAGCUUGUUUUCCUCUUGGAAGUACCAGUAUCUUCUUGAAUGGAGUAGCCCUCCUUUGCUCACCUUCCCCAAUUUCACUGAAAUUCCAAGGAUAGAAGG